rnacentral:tRNA from 1 species
AUCCCAAUAGCUCAGCUGGACAGAGCACGGCGCUACGAACGCCGGGGUCCCCGGUUCGAAUCCGGGUUGGGGUG